GCACAAGCGGAGGAACAUUGUGGUUUAAUUCGAUGAUACGCGAGGAACCUUACCUGGGCUUAAAUGUAGAGUGUCAUUUUUUAGAGAUAGAAAUUCCCUUCGGGGCUUUCUGCAAGGUGCUGCAUGGUUGUCGUCAGCUCGUGCCGUGAGGUGUCGGGUUAAGUCCCAUAACGAGCGCAACCCUUAUCGUUAGUUGCCAUCUGGUAAUGCAGGGGACUCUAGCGAAACUGCCACCGUAAGGUGAGAGGAAGGUGGGGAUGACGUCAAAUCAGCACGGCCCUUAUGUCCAGGGCUACACACGUGUUACAAUGGUCGGUACAGAGGGCAGCUACCUGGUGACAGGAUGCUAAUCUCGAAAACCGGUCUCAGUUCGGAUCGAAGUCUGCAACUCGACUUCGUGAAGCUGGAUUCGCUAGUAAUCGCGCAUCAGCUAUGGCGCGGUGAAUACGUUCCCGGGCCUU
rnacentral:rRNA from 1 species